rnacentral:rRNA from 1 species
UGGGGAAUUUUGGACAAUGGGGGGAACCCUGAUCCAGCCAUGCCGCGUGUCUGAAGAAGGCCUUCGGGUUGUAAAGGACUUUUGUACGGGAAGAAAGGGUUUGUGCUAACACCACGAACAUAUGACGGUACCGUAAGAAUAAGCACCGGCUAACUACGUGCCAGCAGCCGCGGUAAUACGUAGGGUGCGAGCGUUAAUCGGAAUUACUGGGCGUAAAGCGGGCGCAGACGGUUACUUAAGCAGGAUGUGAAAUCCCCGAGCUCAACUUGGGAACUGCGUUCUGAACUGGGUAACUAGAGUGUGUCAGAGGGGGGUAGAAUUCCACGUGUAGCAGUGAAAUGCGUAGAGAUGUGGAGGAAUACCGAUGGCGAAGGCAGCCCCCUGGGAUAACACUGACGUUCAAGCCCGAAAGCGUGGGUAGCAAACA